UAAAUUUAAGAGGAUAUACAUUUUAAGCUCUGUUCAUGUUUUUAUACGACCGCAAAAUUUGAAAAAUUUUUCGUCGUAUAUUGCUAUCACGUUGGCGUCGCGUCGUCGUCGUCGUCGUCGUCGUCGUCGUCCGGCGUCCGAAUACUUUUAGUUUUCGCACUCUAACUUUAGUAAAAGUGAAUGGAAAUCUAUGAAAUUUUAACACAAGGUUUAUGACCACAAAAGGAAGGUUGGUAUUGAUUUUGGGAGUUUUUGUCUCAACAUUUUAGGAAUUAGGGGCCAAAAAGGGCCCAAAUAAGCAUUUUCUUGGUUUUCGCACUAUAACUUUAGUUUAAGUUAAUAGAAAUCUAUGAAAUUUUGACACAAGGUUUAUGACCACAAAAGAACGGUUGGGAUUGAUUUUGGGAGUUUUGGUUUCAACAGUUUAGGAAUUAGGGGCCAAAAAAGGGCCCAAAUAAGCAUUAUUCUUGGUUUUCGCACAAUAACUUUAGUUUAAGUAAAUAGAAAUCAAUGAAAUUUAAACACAAUGUUAAUGACUACAAAAGGAAGGUUGGUAUUGAUUUUGGGAGUUAAGGUCCCAACAGUUUAGGAAUUAGGGGCCAAAAAGGGACCCAAAUAAGCAUUUUUCUUGGUUUUCGCACCAUAACGUUAGUAUAAGUAAAUAGAAAUCUAUGAAAUUUAAACACAAGGUUUAUGACCAUAAAAGGAAGGUUGUUAUUGAUUUUGGGAGUUUUGGUCCCAACAGAAUAAGGGGCCCAAAGGGUCCAAAAUUAAACUUUGUUUGAUUUCAUCAAAAUUGAAUAAUUGGGGUUCUUUGAUAUGCCGAAUCUUAACUGUCAUGACUGUGUAUGUAGAUUCUUAACUUUUGGUCCCGUUUUCAAAUUGGUCUACAUUAAGGUCCAAAGGGUCCAAAAUUAAACUUAGUUUGAUUUUGACAAAAAAAUGAAUCAGAUAGGUUCUUUGAUAUGCUGAAUCUAAAAAUGUACUUAGAUUCUUGAUUAUUGGCCCAGUUUUCAAGUUGGUCCAAAUCGGG
rnacentral:lncRNA from 1 species